GCCUGGCUGCCUCAGUCAGUAGAGCAUGAGACUCUCGAUCUCAGGGUUGUGGGUUCCGAGCCCCAUGUUGGGCG